GGGGGGGCGUUUCGCGUGUCAGCACCGACCGCAAUCACGACGCAGAGUUUCGGUAACUCCAGCCCUGUGCAACGCUAGAGCAGGCUGGGUUCCACUGUAUUCUCAGCAGACGCUGCAAUGGACCAUUCAGAGCUUGGCCCCAAGAUACUGGUAUAGUGCCAGGCAGCUGCAAUCCAGAGGGCCUGCCAUAGGACAUCAUUUCUAGCAUCUCUCCUCUCUCAGCUAAAAUGAUGGAUGCCCACGUGGAUCUCCUGACAGAGCUUCAGCUGCUGGAUAAGGUGCCCACCUUGGAGAGGCUGCGGGCAGCCCAAAAACGGAGGGCUCAACAGCUGAAGAAGUGGGCACAGUAUGAGAAAGAGAUGCAGCACAAGAAGCGGAAGCAUGAGAAGAGAAGAAGUGCUGUUAACAGGAAGAAAGUAUCUUUUGAAGCCAGUGUUGCUCUACUGGAGGCUUCUCUGAGGAAUGACUUAGAGGAAGUGUGUUACCUACUGAAGAGCAAUAUUAGCCCGGACCUGUGCAAUGAAGAUGGAUUAACUGCACUGCAUCAGUGCUGCAUAGACAACUAUGAAGAGAUAGUCAAGAUUCUCCUCAACCAUGGGGCCAAUGUCAACGCCAAGGACAACGAGCUAUGGACUCCAUUGCAUGCAGCAGCUACUUGUGGUCAUAUCAACCUGGUGAAGAUCCUAAUCCAGCAUGGAGCAGACUUAUUGGCAGUAAACGCAGAUGGCAACAUGCCAUAUGACCUCUGUGAAGAUGAGCCAACCCUGGAUGUCAUUGAGACUUGCAUGGCAUAUCAAGGAAUUACACAAGAAAAAAUCAAUGAGAUGCGGGCCGCUCCAGAGCAGGUCAUGAUCUGCGACAUCCAUGACAUACUGGCAACUGGAGAGGACCUGAACAGGACUGAUGCCCAAGGUGCUACACUGCUCCAUAUAGCUGCAGCCAAUGGUUACCUUCAUGCAGCUGAAGUCCUCCUUGACCAGGGCGCAAGCCUGGAUGUUAAGGACUGGGAUGGCUGGGAACCUCUCCAUGCUGCUGCUUUUUGGGGCCAGAUGCAAAUGGCUGAGUUGCUUGUAUCCCAUGGAGCCAGUUUGAGUGCCAGGACAUCUUUGGAUGAGAUGCCAAUAGAUCUAUGUGAAGAAGAGGAGUUCAAAGUCUUACUUCUGGAGCUGAAACAUAAGCAUGAUGUGAUCAUGAAAUCUCAGAUGAGGCAUAAAUCCUCCCUGAGCCGAAGGACCUCUAGCACUGGCAGCCGGGGGAAGGUGGUGAGGAGGGCCAGUCUUUCGGACCGAACAAACCUAUACAGGAAGGAGUGCGAGAAAGAAGCCAUCGUCUGGCAGCAGAUGGGGGCAGCAGAAGAACAAAGGAACUCAGGCCUCAUUGGAGAAAUUGGGGAGACUCGGUCCGACCAGGAGAAUACAGACCCCAAUUCAGUGCUGGAGAACUCUUCCCUUCUUCCUGAGUUAGCAAACAAAAGCACCCAGUGUGACUCGGAAAUCCCCCUCCAGAACGGACUCAGGGCGUCUGCCAGUGCUUACCAGUACACCUUUUCCAAUGGGGACAUUUGGAAUAUGCAUGCUGACCCCGACAGUAAUCCAGGCCACAUGCUGCCCUAUGGCAACCCGGGGCUCCCUGACACACAGCAGCUGUGGGGUGCCUACAAGGAGCACAGCCAUCAAACGCUCUCUGAACUCAAGCGGCAGCGGGCUGCAGCCAAGCUCCUCAAUCACCCUUUCCUCAGCACCCACUUUGGCAGUGGCAUGGGAGGUGUAGCCGAGAAUGGGAGUGAGGCCAAGUCACACCUGAUCGGAUCCAGGACUUCUCCCUACAGCACCAAUGGGACCUCAGUGUAUUACACAGUGGCCAGUGGUGAUCCCCCCCUUUUGAAAUUCAAAGCUCCCAUGGAGGAAAUGGAAGAGAAGGUGCAUGGGUGCUGCAGAAUUUCCUAGUCUCACCUGUUACUCAUCCUAGAGGAAACCCGACGUGGGUGGGCUGGUUGGGUCUGUUGCAGAGGCCGGGUUGUUUGCAUUCCAAGGGCAGAAUUUGGUUACGGACAUCACAACUGCAGCAGCCUUGUUCAUUUUGAAUUGUACUUUACCCUGCCAAUUACUUCCAUUGCGGUUGAAUGAGUAUUGCAGGUGGAACAAGGCUCAUAGGAGAGGAAUGGAUGCACAUCAGUACAAUGCAAGAAGAGCCACCCUCAUCAUGCUUCCUGGGGAAGAAGGUACGGUACACUGCCUCCCCAUCCUUGGAAAGUCGUGAGAUGGCUUGAAAAGAAGAAAUGGCUUGAAUUAAAAUCUUUGCAUCUGAGCCUCUUGCUGUAAGCCAACAAGCUUCUGGAAGGUGACAGUUCAGACCUCAUUUUCACUCUUGGGUGCAAUGCAGAUAUCCCUGGAAUGGAGGUCAGCCCCCAUGCAGGGUUUGCAAGAAAGGACUGAGCUGUUGUCUGUGCAGCUGGAUCCAAAACUUACCAGGGGCUGAGCAAUGAGCAAGUGUAGAUACUGCGUUUGCUUUAGGAAGUCCGCAAGGUGGUGUCUCCUCGCAGUGACAGCUCACCUUUAAAAACUGUGCACUGGCUAGGUCCUGUUCCGCUCAUGUAAAUCGGUCACUGAAGACUGUCAUCAAGUUUUUAAGCAGAAUCCUUCAUGGAACAGGCAUCACUGAACAGGCUUUAAAACUGAUGUUGCAAUAAGGGGGCCUGGCAAUAGAAUUUUACUGCAAUAAAAUACUGACAAAGGCUCAGCACAGACACCUGGAACAGUAUGCUUUGUGUUCUGAUUUUUCUGGAUUUCCAGAACCACAGGGCUUGGGAGGGAUGAGGAAAAAAGACUUGCCUACACUAAUCUAGAAAUGUCAUGAAAGCGUUUCUAAUCUCCCUAGAUUUAAUGGCACUCCUGUGUUAACCUGCAUUCUUUGGCUGAUAGACAGGUAACUUAAAUCAUCACGUUGAUGGUUGAACAUUGCAGCAGGGCAGAGAUUGGAUUUUUUUGUUUGUUUUUCCAGUUUUCAUGCUGAAUUCAUCAGCAGUGUCAGAACAAGGCUUAAAGGCCUCCGUAUAUUGCGUACAUAAGAGAGUCGAACUCCCUUUCUGAGUGAAAGCCAAGCACAAUGCAGUAGUCACAAGGCUACUGCGGGAGAGAGGUUGACAUGCGAACACCAGUGUUUUAACACAGCCUGCGUGAACCCUGACAGCCUACCUGAGAAACGCUCGUGCGGUGUAGCAUGGGGUCUUGGCGCUGGCUCUUCAGGAAGUUAAGUCUGCAUACAAGAGGGAGGUAAACGGAGAGUCCCCUUGGGAGGCAGCUCAGAGGAACUGGCCACAGUUGAUUUAACCAGUUGUAUCUACAGAAGUAUUUGUAAUUCUUCAAACCUUUUUCUGCACAGAGGAGCUUUUGCACACAUAACUAUUUGCUUGCAUGAAUAUGUGUUGUCUUGGGCAGUUUAAAUCCCAAAGUUGGGAAACAUAAGCCUGUUUUGUGUCUGUGUAAGCCAAGUUCUGCUCACAGAGGUGUAGUUGUGCUUCAGCUAAGGAACAGAAAAAUGCAGCUUCCACUCAUCUUCCUGUUAGCUGGCAGCUAGACAUCAGUAUUACCUGUUCCUUUGAAAAGAAUUCACACAUAUAUUCUCUUUCUAGGAAUCCUUACAUCAUUUCCUUUUCUUUCUAGGCCAUAAAAUUUUUUUUAGGCUAAAAGGAACUGUUAAUUGCCACCCUCCACUCCCCAUCAACUAGAAACAUUGUUCCAUCGGUAAAGGUCUAGUCAAGGGUAUAAGCAAUGUGUAAGAGAGAUAGGAACCAGUCUGCAAUCCUAUGAGGAAAAGGAAGUGAAGGAGCAGGGAGACCAUUCUCUCUGAAAAGUGUUUUGGGCAGGUGUCUGCAGAGGAAUACCCACUCCUUAGCUUACAUUACAGCUGAGCUUGGCUGUGAGAUCGAGCCUGGCUCUGAAGCUGGCUCUCAGGCAGGGAUCUGGGCCCCUCCUUUAAAGCAGAUCCUUCAGGCAGCAGAGAUAAGUCACCACAAAAACCAAAUACUUUGGGGUCUUUGAGGUUAUUACCAAGCUGAUAGUUUAUUGUUUCAAGUUCUAAGGCUACAAUUCCCUUCCCUUAUCUGUUUUUGGAACAAAUUAGAAAAGUGGUAGCAUCUUGUCUGAUUUUUAAAUCCUCAGUUUAGUUAAAGGCAGGAGGUUCCUUUACAUCUUUUGAAACAUUCAGAGAAAGUGAGCCUUCUCUGACACAUACUUAGGUAGCUUGCUUAACACCUUUGUCCCAUCUGACUAAUCUCUUGGUUUCUGCUGAUCUGUACAAGUUGCCACUCUGUCGUUCCAUUAUUCAAACCCAUAUAUUAAACUUGAAAAUACUUCCUGUGCUUUACUGAACCUCGGUGGAAUUACAGUCACUCUCUAGUUGAAAUAAGUUGAUUUGGUAGCUGGAGACUUUACAGCAUCUAAGGUGGUCUGUGUGUAGUUAAGAGUGGGUCUUGUGAUUGUCUUAAAGAAAAUUCUUCUGGAAUAAUACCAGGUGUAGCCUAGGUGCUGCUGAAUAAGCGAAGAUGAUCUUUUGUAUGCCUCCCUUUUCCCAUGGUGUUGGAGGUAGUCUUUCCAGGUUCCAUCCUAAUGAGAAUUUGGGAGUCAGCAUAACAACCUUUGGUGCUGCCGUCCACUAGGUUUUAAGUGGUGCAAAAUUUGGGCCCAGCUGAUGCCUUCCCUACUAGGGAUAGGAGGAGUCAGACCCUUUUCCUUCUCAGAGCAAUUUUGUGCUAUUAAAUAUGAUGAAUCUUACAUAUCUCCAAGCCGAUGAAAAGCAGGGAGUCGAAUGCAAUCGUGUGAGGUAGUUUGAGGCUUGCAUUCCCUGCAAGUAGCUAAUAUGUUAAAAAUGCAUGAAGCCAGUCUGUUUUAGGCAAAUAGCUUUUAUUUUUAUCAGUAUUUCACUUUAUUUAUAUGUAAAAGGAAUUCAUUAUUCUAGCUGUGAUCUUGAGUGAAGUAACAAUUGAUUUACAGUCAGAGGAAGGAUGCUACAGGUUCUAGGUUAUAAAAUGUCCCUGUAAUUGGACUGUUAUAUUGUGACUGUAAAUUGGCAGUAAUAUAUCUCUUCUAGCUUUAUCUCUAUAAGCUAACAUGCUGUAGUGGUGUCUGAUCAAAUGCAAAUGAUUCUUACUCAGAAAGGUCAGUAACUGAUAAAUAUUCCAGGAUAUGUUUCAUAGCAAAGACAACUGAUUAUUUACCAUUGGCUUUGGUUUGGAAGUUGCAUCCAAGUGGGAUUUCCAAAGAUUGCUGAAGGCCACCCAAAAUGGACUGAUGCUUUUCCUCCUUAUGUGUGGGUGACAUUCUGAAUAUAAUGGUCACUGCCUGUGGGAUACUGGCAGAUAAUGGUCAGGGAAAGAACUGACAAUUUAUGGUGCAUGAAGUUGUUGGUAGUAGGUCAGGGAUGAGCAAUUCUGUAAAAAAAAAUUUAACUUGCCUCUGGUUAACUAUCUUAUAGAGACAAACAAGCUUUUGGGGGGCAUGAUAAAUGCGCAGAUGCUCUUAUAUGUGCAUUGUAGGAGCCCACCUGUAGGAACAGGGCUUCUUAUUACAAAAUUUAGCACUACUACUAUAACUACAAUGCUUUCAUAUCCAUGCAUUUUAAACAAGGCCAUCCUGGUGGAAAGUUCUGAGGUACAUAGCAGAAGACAGUCAGCUAGUUUACUGGAGCUCUUAAAAUUGUUAAAAAGUUGUGGAAGCUAGAAAAGAUGUGAUUGCCAUAUAUAGCACUUUUAUAUAGCACAUUUGGAUGUUGUGACAGUUGCCCUAUUAAGCACUGUAGGCAGAUCUGCACACAGGAACAACCCUACUGCUUGAAAAAUCUUCUUAUAUGCUGAAGUCAUAGUGUUUCUAGCAAACUAACUGGUUGAUGAGAGCAGCUUUACUUUCCAUGUUGAAAAACUUUAUUCAGAUGCAGAACAGUGUCUCUCAAACUAGCGUCUCUGCUUUACUGAGCUCCACCAAGGAAGUCCCAGCAGUAAAUCGUUAGACAGGGGCUUAAGUACGGUUGCUGGGAUCUGUUUGGCUUCAGACCUAUGUCUGUAUUUCACAUACCAAGUGAUGCAAUUUUAGUUUGUCUCACUUCUGUGGUGCUCCAGGACCUGAAAACCCUCUGCAUUUUGGAAAGAAUUGUCUCUAGCUGAUGUGACUUGUAGAUGUGAUGACACAUGGUUGGGAAACUCCUGCUAUAGAAGGAGGAGAAGAGCAUAGCAGGAAAUAGCAAUAACAAAUCAGGGCAAUACCCAGUAGAUGCAGUGAAUUCUUUAGUAUACCAAGCAAGGGGUUAUUUCAUGGGGUUGCAGAUGCGAGCACUUAUGUCCCAAAUUUCCAUUUGGCAGAUUGAUUUCUGUGCACUGUCCUUUUUUGAUCUAAUGUUGGAUCUCUGUUUCCCCUCUUUCUUCUAAGCUGAAACAAAAUCAGCAAUACCACGAAAUAAGAAUAUCUUACCGGAGAAAGCAAUGGGACUGGUUUCUAGUGAGCCACAGUAGAUCAGCUGUUGUCUAUUUACUGCAAGGUGUGCUCCCUCUGUCUGGAUAUAGCUGUGCCUUACUGUAUUUGCUAAAAAUAGCUCAGUGGCUAGUCUCUGAAAUUUUUGUGGUGACUAUACAAUGCUGUUUUGAAUUUUACUAUUAUUUUGCAAAGGGAAAACUGUUCACAGCAUGUUGUAUUUUGCAAAUUUGAUUUGCUCUUUCAUUUCUCUCAUGAUCACCGUUUCUCUCUUCCUAUGCUACAGACACUCCCAAUGCAAAAGACUUCAUCCUAAUUUAACAAACCGCAUUGACCAACGUUGUUGCAGCAGUUCUCUGCUGGCAGGGUCCAGAGCACACUAGCAGUAGCAAGAGCUAGCUUGUUGCUGCAGAACGUGGUUAAUAUUUAGAUUUUUUUUGCGGGGGGGAGGGGGGGUUGUCUGUGGCCAUAUGAUGGUAGUUCCUGGCUUUCUUCAGCUUUACAUAUUGGUCAGACUUAAGAUGGACUUGUUGGGCCUCUUACAUGAUUCAAGUAGUACUGAGAUCUUUUGUCAACAUCCACCACAGCAAAACAAGAACUUGGAAUAUUUUGCUGCAUUUCAAGUGUGGAAGCUCUCGUAGAGGAGACAGUGCUCAAGACACCAGUUCCCAAGUCUACACCAAUACAAUUAUCUCUACCUGCAACUGGGGGAAAAAACAUAGGUUUGGGGGGUAAAUGCAGCCUUAGCAUAGCCACUUCUGACUCCUCAGCCCACAGAUUGCAGUGCUUGCUUCCCUGUGAGAGGGGGGAGAAUGAAUUACAGUGUUUGUAGCCCUUGUACAGCUAUGUUAGACUGCUGCAUAGCCAGGAUAUUUAAAAAUGGUGGCAAGCCCUCUGCAAUAAUUCAUAAUUCCAUCGAUCGGUAGUAAAUGAUGUACAAAUAAAACUUGAUGAAAUGUAUUUUAUGUGAAAAAAAUAAUGUAAGAACUGUAUAUUGUAUUAGCAGCUUUGUGUAUAAAAUGGCAUUUUGGCAAUCAGAGUCUAAUAUAUUUAAAACUUUUUUUAAAAAAGGAUAUUUGAUAUUGUAUGGAGCUGACUUUAUUGCUACUGUAUGUAUGAAAAGAUGGUUUCUUAACAUGUUGGAGCAAUGCGUAAAAUCUUAAAACUGUAUGUAAAUCUCAUGCCAAAAGGGUAUGUCUGACAGUAUUAGCACUUGACUUCAGUGUCUUUAAUAGAUUCAAUUUUUUUAAUUUAAAAAAUAUAUUAAAUUUCUU